AGCCUGGGCGCGUGCACAGCUCGCUUGUCUCCCUGAGGCGGACGCUGAUUGGCUGCAGUGUGGACCGCAUCUACUGAGCAUUCUCAACAUCCUAGGCGGCACCUAGGACAGCUCCACUUGCUCCCUCCAGCCUCGCACCCACCGCUGAUUGGCUGCGAAGCUCCCUCCCGCCCUGCUUGCUGUGCGGAGUGGCAGGGCUUUGAGUCUAAUUGGUCCGCGGACUCAGGUUUCAGGUCUCUAAGACAGAUCUUAUCCUCUAGCCCGUCCCCCACCCCUUCUAAUUGGCUGCGGAAUUUGCUCUUCCUCCGUCCCCCUAUGAAAAAACUAGGCCCCGAACCUCUUUCGCUAACAGCCUUGGAAUCUUCCUCUGCAAGGGCUCAGGAUACCACCAGUUCUUUGCUCCUGUCUUGCCAACGAGUGGCUCUCGUUGCAAACCCUUUCAUCUCUCUCUCUCAACCCCUGACAGUCUAUGAAAUGUAUGUCUGUGAUUGGUUGGGAGGCCCUCAAGAGCCAGCCGGGAUUCAGGUGCCUGUGGGCAGCUCCCCUUUCCUGCCUCUUGCCUUGCUUCACUACUGAUUGGCUGCAGAACGCCCCCUGCCUCACCUGGACGUAUGCGGGGGCAGGGAAGGCACCAGAGGGGCAGUGCCUUGACCCGUGAUUGGUCAAAUGCUCAUUGCCUGUCAGCUGAGGCAGGGUUAACUGCGUACUUCACGUACCAGCCUCCCCUGACCGCCCCACAACCCCACCCCAGCCAACACACCAGAGAGAAUGGCCCAUUGCUUUGCCCCACCAUUAAGUUGGUCAGAGCUAAGAGCCCAGCCAGCUGGCGUUCUACCCAGGAAGGGCUGUAGUGCUGACAGGCGACUAGCGCGAACGGCGCCAGUCCGAGAGCACUACUUGCCUCUCUCCUUCCAUGAGCUCGGCUGCGGUUGCACUGCUGAUUGGCUGGCUCCACUCUCUUCUAAGUGGCUUAGCCUUGCGUUCGCGCAGGGACACAUCCAAUGAGGAGCGAGGGCGCUUUCAGGAGGCGGGCAUUGUUCGACCGGUUCCACUUCUGAUUGGUCCAGGGGCUUGCCUCUUCUCUUUUGAUCGAUCAGAGGGGCGGGAGGCGGGAGCCCAGCUCAACGGUUAUCAGGCGGCAGUUGGAGUUCUGUCCCUGUGCUUCAAAUUUCAGCUUCAGGGCUCGGUGGAGUGUUGUCUGGCGCCUACUUCCCCGUAGCUAGCUGAGGAACUGGGGAGGGAACACGGGGGCAGGAGGACCUGGGACUGUCGCUGCAGCUCCCAGUCGGGAUGGAGACCGACUGAGGCGAGUGGCGGACCGGCGGGUGCAAACCGCUCAAAAAGCUGGAAGAGUCAGGUGCUGUAAUAGUAGUAACAGCAGCUCCCGCUCACCGAGCCCUUUUGGUGUACCGCUGUGCGUGCAUCAUCUCACUGACUCCUUCUACAUAACCCUGUGAGGGAGCAGAUUACUCUGCCGGUUAACCUCCAAGGGUCAUUUGUCGCCCACAGCGAAAGCCGGCAUUGCUGGAACUCCGACCUUGUUCUAGAGAGUCCGGCAUUCGAGCUACACUAUGAUUAAGUAGGGUUGAUUUUGUAGAUGUGGGGUGGGGCCUGAUGUGAUCACCUUGGCCCUGGCUUACCUCGUCCAUACAUGAAGGUGUUUGGGUUUUGGUUUUGGACUAGGAUCUGAUCCUGAAGGCUUCACUCAGUACAUAUGCUCAAGCCCUCAAACUUUUAGAGAAUGGUUUAACCCUUCCUGGCAAUGCUGCAAGCCCUGCCACGUGAACAAACUUGGGCUGGCCUGCGGUAGACACAUGGCCCAGUUCAGAGCCAUUACCCCAGCCACCUACACCCACUGCCAGCCAGCCAUACAUGUGAGUGAAACCACCCCAGACCAAACAGCCCCCAGUCACUAGCUGACUGCAGCUGCGAGAGUCAGCCCAGGUGAGACCAACUGGAGAACUGAACUGCCUGGCUGGGCUCAGCCCAAAUGGUCCAGAAGAAUCAGGAGCUACAAAAUAAUAAUUAUUUUAAGCCACUGUGUUUCGGGUGGUUAAAAAAAAAGCUAACUGACAUACCCUGGACCAGAGUAGUUUCUAGGCAACAAAUAUCACUUACCUGGAUUCUGGGUCUUGAAAGUUGAAAAAUUCCUUCUGUUUCCAGACUGGUUUCUUCGAUUUUUUGAACGAAUUUUUAUGAGAUGAACUUAUUU